rnacentral:rRNA from 1 species
AGUAAAAGUCGUAACAAGGUUUCCGUAGGUGAACCUGCGGAAGGAUCAUUAUUGAAAUAAACCUGAUAAGUUGCUGCUGGUUCUCUAGGGAGCAUGUGCACACUUGUCAUCUUUGUAUCUUCACCUGUGCACCUUUUGUAGACCUGAGUAUCUCUCUGAAUGCUUUAGCACUCAGGAUUGAGGAUUGAUUCCAAGUCUUUUCUCACAUUUUCAGGUCUAUGUUUCUUCAUAUACCCCAAUGUAUGUUCAUAGAAUGUAAUUAAUGGGCCUUUGUGCCUAUAAACCCAUACAACUUUCAGCAACGGAUCUCUUGGCUCUCGCAUCGAUGAAGAACGCAGCGAAAUGCGAUAAGUAAUGUGAAUUGCAGAAUUCAGUGAAUCAUCGAAUCUUUGAACGCACCUUGCGCUCCUUGGUAUUCUGAGGAGCAUGCCUGUUUGAGUGUCAUUAAUAUAUCAACCUUCUUUGGUUGGAUGUGGGGUGUGCUGGCCUCUUCAGGUCARCUCUCCUUAAAUGCAUUAGCGGACUACAUUUUGCCAACCGUUCAUUGGUGUGAUAAUUAUCUAYGCUAUUGACGUGAAGCAACGUUCAGCUUCUAACAGUCCAUUGACUUGGACAAAUUUUUAUUAAUGUGACCUCAAAUCAGGUAGGACUACCCGCUGAACUUAAGCAUAUCAAUAAGCGGAGGAAAAGAAACUAACAAGGAUUCCCCUAGUAACUGCGAGUGAAGCGGGAAAAGCUCAAAUUUAAAA